rnacentral:rRNA from 1 species
AGUGAACGCUGGCGGUAGGCCUAACACAUGCAAGUCGAACGGCAGCACAGUAAGAGCUUGCUCUUACGGGUGUCGAGUGGCGGACGGGUGAGGAAUACAUCGGAAUCUACUUUUUCGUGGGGGAUAACGUAGGGAAACUUACGCUAAUACCGCAUACGACCUACGGGUGAAAGCAGGGGAUCUUCGGACCUUGCGCGAUUGAAUGAGCCGAUGUCGGAUUAGCUAGUUGGCGGGGUAAAGGCCCACCAAGGCGACGAUCCGUAGCUGGUCUGAGAGGAUGAUCAGACACACUGGAACUGAGGCACGGUCCAGACUCCUACGGGAGGCAGCAGUGGGGAAUAUUGGACAAUGGGCGCAAGCCUGAUCCAGCCAUACCGCGUGGGUGAAGAAGGCCUUCGGGUUGUAAAGCCCUUUUGUUGGGAAAGAAAAGCAGCAGGUUAAUACCCCGCUGUUCUGACGGUACCCAAAGAAUAAGCACCGGCUAACUUCGUG